AUGCAUGGCUCCCACCCCGCCACGCUCGCCCUCAACGCGCGCCCGGUGGCCGAGUUCGGAUACCUCAAGGACCUCCCCGAGAUCCUCCACCGCAUCAUCCAUGGCGGUGUCGCCACCACCGCCAGGACCCCAAAGAAGCAGUGGAGCGAAGACUCGGAGGUCUCCAUGUACGGGGGUACGAGCGAGGCGCGCAUUGCUGCCAGCCUGAAGCGCGACCAGGAGGAGGCCGCCCAGGCCGCCGUCCAGCGCAGGAAGAAGCGCGCGGAUGCAGCGGCGAGAGCCGUCGAGAGGUACGCCCGGGACCCGAACUACCGCCUCCUGCACGACAUGACGGCCGACGUGUUCGCCGACCUCCUCGCCGAGGACAUGAAGAAGCUCUCAGAUGGCAACGUCGACCUCUCGCUCGCCGGAAAAUGGUGCCCGUCGAUCGACAGCUGCUACGACCGCUCCACGCUCAUCUGCGAGGCCAUCGCGCGCCGCCUCUUCCACAAGGGCUCGGCGCCCGAUCUUCCCGAGGACUUGCCGGACGCGUACUAUGCCUACCGCGCGCGCGAGCGCCUCCGCAAGGAGGCCUACGUGCCGCUGCGCCAUGCCCUCAAGCUCCCCGAGAUCUUCAUCUCGGCGCGCGCGUGGGGCGAGGUGGUGUACACGCGCGUGGCCUCCGUCGCGAUGAAGAACUACAAGGACCUCUUCCUCGAGCACGACGAAGAGCGUUUCAACAGCUACCUCGCCGACGUCAAGUCCGGCAAGGCGAAGAUCGCGGCGGGCGCUCUGCUGCCGCACGAAAUCCUGAAGUCCGCCUACGACGACGAUGGAGUCGCGGACCUGCAGUGGAAGCGCAUGGUGGAGGACCUGCUGGCGCUGGGCAAGCUCAACAACUGCCUCGCCGUAUGCGACGUGUCGGGCAGCAUGGGCGGCCUCCCCAUGGACGUAUGCGUGGCGCUCGGCCUCCUCCUCUCCGAGCUCUGCGACGAGCCAUGGCGCCACCGCGUCAUCACCUUCAGCGAGAAGCCGCAGCUGCACCACAUCUCCGGCGACAACCUCGCGGAGAAGACACAAUUCAUACGCGAGAUGCAAUGGGACCUGAACACCGACUUCCAGGCGGUGUUCGACCAGCUCCUGCGCGUGGCCGUCGCCGGCAAGGUCCCUCCGGAGCGCAUGGUGAAGAAGGUGUUCGUGUUCAGCGACAUGGAGUUCGACCAGGCGUCGUCGAGGCCGUGGGAGACCGACUACGAGGCGAUCACGAGGAAGUAUUCCGAGGCCGGGUACGGCGACGCCGUGCCGCAGAUCGUCUUCUGGAACCUGCGGGACUCAGACUCGGUGCCGGUGACGGCGCAUCAGAAGGAGGUGGCGCUGGUGAGCGGCUUCUCCAAGAACAUGGUGAAGCUGUUCCUCGAGGGCGAAUACAUCCUGUCGCCGAGGGCAGUCAUGGAGAAGGCCAUCGCUGGGCCGGAGUACCAGAAGCUCGUUGUGUUCGACUGA
rnacentral:rRNA from 1 species